rnacentral:sRNA from 1 species
AGUGCUUCCGGUCCGCCUGCCGGAAGUUUUGGAGCGCCGGACAAGCUGAGGUCCGCGACUCGUCGCUAAGAUUCCCCAAAACUGAGAUUUCAAGAAAAUUCACCCUUUCCGCUUUCUUUGGCGUCCUUCAACCGUGAAGGAAAUGAAGGUUGAGAACCUGGAACCCGCUUCCAAAGACCAAGCCCUUUCUCUGCUGCCUUUCGAGCUCAGGGGCCCCUGGCUAUGCUGCAGCACUUUGAUACUAUCUACAGCAUUUUGCAUCACUUUCGAAGUAUAGAUCCUGGCCUCAAAGAAGAUACUCUGGAAUUCCUGAUAAAAGUGGUAUCCCGCCACUCCCAGGAGCUUCCAGCUAUCCUGGAUGAUGCAACUUUGAGUGGAUCAGAUAGAAACGCCCAUCUAAAUGCCCUCAAAAUGAACUGUUAUGCUCUGAUACGUCUCCUGGAAUCCUUUGAGACCAUGGCCAGCCAGACAAACCUUGUGGACCUGGACCUUGGUGGGAAGGGUAAGAAAGCUCGGACCAAGGCAGCCCAUGGCUUUGACUGGGAAGAAGAGAGGCAACCAAUUCUUCAGCUUUUAACACAGCU